GACGAACGCUGGCGGCGUGCUUAACACAUGCAAGUCGAACGGAAAGGCCCUGCUUUUGUGGGGUUCUCGAGUGGCGAACGGGUGAGUAACACGUGAGUAACCUGCCCUUGACUUUGGGAUAACUUCAGGAAACUGGGGCUAAUACCGGAUAGAAUCUCCUGCUCCAUGUGGGUGGUUGGAAAGUUUCGGCUGUUGGGGAUGGACUCGCGGCUUAUCAGCUUGUUGGUGGGGUAGUGGCUUACCAAGGCUUUGACGGGUAGCCGGCCUGAGAGGGUGACCGGCCACAUUGGGACUGAGGUACGGCCCAGACUCCUACGGGAGGCAGCAGUGGGGAAUAUUGCACAAUGGGCGGAAGCCUGAUGCAGCAACGCCGCGUGCGGGAUGACGGCCUUCGGGUUGUAAACCGCUUUCGCCUGUGACGAAGCGUGAGUGACGGUAAUGGGUAAAGAAGCACCGGCUAACUACGUG
rnacentral:rRNA from 1 species